UUCUUGGUGCUUAGCUGUUUCAAGAUCGUUUGACCUAGCUGUUAUAAUUUAUUCUGAUCCAACUCUUGAAUUACCUUGAUGUCAAUGUUUUAGGUCUUUUCCUUUUCUUUUUUUUAUAUACCAGUGAUGCUUGGUUUUAAUAAAUUCUUUUGAAGAUUAUUGGCUGAUCUAUCUCUAUAAUUUACUCUGAUCCAACUCUUGAAUUACCUUCAUGUCAUUGAUGUUCUAGGUCUUUUCCUUUCUUUUCUUUAUAUACCAGUGACGCUUGAUUUUUAAUAAAUUCCUUUGGUUAUUAACUGUGAAUCCCUCCCUCAUAUACAUAGUUUCUUUCUUUCUAAUGUAAUUAACUUGGUAUUUACACGAGGGAUAAACGGAUAGAAAAAUAAGGUUAGCAACAAUAUGUACGCACAUCUUACUUUUAUUGCCCUGAGAAGGUAGA
rnacentral:lncRNA from 1 species